UUUGAACCCCAACAUCUGCAUUUUUAUUAUUUACAAAAACAACGCUUCAUACCUCUCGAUUUAUCCAUAAAACCUAGGGGUAAGAUAGAUUAUUUUUUUAAUUAAAACUUGUUACAUUGUUUACACAUAAUAUUAAUAAAAUAAUUUGUUUACAAACUACAAUGUUUACCCAUAAUAUUACAUUAUUUACACAAAAUAUUAAAAUAAAA
rnacentral:lncRNA from 1 species